rnacentral:rRNA from 1 species
AUUGAACGCUGGCGGAAUGCUUUACACAUGCAAGUCGAACGGCAGCACGGGGGCAACCCUGGUGGCGAGUGGCGAACGGGUGAGUAAUACAUCGGAACGUGCCCGGUCGUGGGGGAUAACGUAGCGAAAGUUACGCUAAUACCGCAUACGGUCUGAGGAUGAAAGCGGGGGACCUUCGGGCCUCGCGCGAUCGGAGCGGCCGAUGUCAGAUUAGGUAGUUGGUGGGGUAAAGGCCUACCAAGCCGACGAUCUGUAGCUGGUCUGAGAGGACGACCAGCCACACUGGGACUGAGACACGGCCCAGACUCCUACGGGAGGCAGCAGUGGGGAAUUUUGGACAAUGGGCGCAAGCCUGAUCCAGCCAUUCCGCGUGCAGGACGAAGGCCUUCGGGUUGUAAACUGCUUUUGUAUGGAACGAAAAGGCUCUGGCUAAUACCUGGGGCUCAUGACGGUACCGUAAGAAUAAGCACCGGCUAACUACGUG